GUGGGGAAUAUUGGACAAUGGGCGCAAGCCUGAUCCAGCCAUGCCGCGUGAGUGAUGAAGGCCCUAGGGUUGUAAAGCUCUUUCACCGGUGAAGAUAAUGACGGUAACCGGAGAAGAAGCCCCGGCUAACUUCGUGCCAGCAGCCGCGGUAAUACGAAGGGGGCUAGCGUUGUUCGGAAUUACUGGGCGUAAAGCGCACGUAGGCGGGUAUUUAAGUCAGGGGUGAAAUCCCAGAGCUCAACUCUGGAACUGCCUUUGAUACUGGGUACCUGUAGUAUGGAAGAGGUAAGUGGAAUUCCUAGUGUAGAGGUGAAAUUCGUAGAUAUUCGGAGGAACACCAGUGGCGAAGGCGGCUUACUGGUCCAUUACUGACGCUGAGGUGCGAAAGCGUGGGGAGCAAACAGGAUUAGAAACCCCAGUAGUCC
rnacentral:rRNA from 1 species